GGAGAGGUGUCCGAGUUGGCCUAAGGAGCGCGACUGGAAAUCGCGUACCUGCGGAAACGUGGGUCGCGGGUUCGAAUCCCGCCCUCUCCG
rnacentral:tRNA from 1 species